GCGAGAGCGGCGUGCCGCGACCGCAGCGCUGGAUGGCGCUGGUGGGGGCUUGAUGCGCCCACGGCUCGCCCUCUCUCCCGUUAAAUCACACGGUAGGACACGCGAGCGGACGGAGACUGGCGGCGACAGCACCCGGGAUAAACUAAAGAGCAGAAGAGAACAUCAGAGAAGUCUCCACAUGAAAGCAGAAGAGCUUCUUAAUCAACAUUUAAGUGACAGAGGCUGCCAAAGGACGCUUUGGACUCACAUGUCCUUAACUACGACCAGAUAAAUCCAAGGAGCUAAAAAUAGAAAACCAAAAAGCCAACCGUUGGCUCCAGCAAAAGGACGGAUUUUUAAGUAAAACCACGGCUGGAGAGGGGGAGGGUUGUAUGGGUGCCGAAUCCCCAUCCAGGACACUUCACAUCUCCUCGAUCUUCCUCUGCCGCCUCCCUCCUCUUCCUCCCUCCAUUCCCUCCUCUGCGUUUCUCUCAUUCUCCCUCGUCCUCUCUCAUGGGAGUGACAUAGAGGCCGUCGCUCGGUCUGCUACCCCACCCCUUCCCUGCCUCGCCGCGGAAACGGGGGCGUCCAGGUAGUGAUGUCGUGGAAGAGGAACUACUUUGCUUCGGGUGGCGGAGCGGCAGGAGGGGUGCAGGGGCUGGUGACCCCAAGAACCAUGACCUCCAUCGCACCCAGCAAAGGCCUGAGCAACGAGCCGGGACAGAACAGCUGCUUCCUCAACAGUGCUCUGCAGGUACUGUGGCAUCUUGACAUCUUCCGUAGAAGCUUCCGGCAGCUGACCACACAUAAGUGUAUGGAGGACUCGUGUAUCUUCUGUGCUUUAAAGAGUAUCUUUGCUCAGUUCCAGUUCAGCAGUGAGCGUGUCCUGCCAUCAGAUGCACUGCGGAGCGCUUUGGCCAAGACUUUCCAAGACGAGCAGCGCUUUCAGUUAGGGAUCAUGGACGACGCUGCCGAGUGCUUUGAGAACCUCUUGAUGCGUAUCCACUUUCACAUCAGUGCGGAGAGCAGAGAGGACAUCUGCACCGCCAAACACUGCAUCCCACACCAGAAGUUUGCCAUGACUCUGUUUGAACAGUGCGUGUGUAACAGCUGUGGAGCCACAUCAGACCCCUUGCCCUUCAUUCAGAUGGUUCAUUACAUCUCCACUACAUCCCUCUGUAACCAGGCAGUGAGGAUGCUGGAGUGCAGAGAGAAACCCACACCGGACAUGUUUGGAGAGCUGCUCCGCAAUGCCAGCAACAUGGGAGACCUGCGCAACUGCCCUAGUAACUGUGGGGAGGUGCUGCGUAUCCGCCGGGUGCUCAUGAACUCACCGGAGAUCGUGUCCAUCGGCUUGGUUUGGGACUCAGACCACUCAGAUCUGGCUGAGGACGUCAUACACAGCCUGGGGACCUGUCUGCGCCUGGGAGAUUUGUUCUACCGUGUGACAGAGGAGAGGGCUCGCCAGGCGGAGCUCUACUUGGUGGGCAUGGUGUGCUACUACGGCAAGCACUACUCCACCUUCUUCUUCCAGACUAAGAUACGCAAGUGGAUGUACUUCGACGACGCCCACGUCAAAGAGAUCGGCCCAAAGUGGAAGGACGUGGUAUCUCGCUGUAUCAAAGGCCACUAUCAGCCCCUGCUGCUGCUCUACGCUGACCCCCGUGGGACGCCGGUGAUACUGCAGGAGAGCCCAAACCCCUGUAGCAGCUCCAACCCGCAGCUGGAGCUCCAGCACUGCAGCAGCAGCAAGGCCGGCUACGACAGCGAGGACUCCGGUCGGGAGCCAUCCAUAUCUAGUGAUACUCGUACCGACUCUUCAACAGACAGCUCAAGUCACAGAGCCUCGCGAAGCCGGCCUCUCCAUCAGUCCACAGGCAGCCAUCUUUCUAACGAAUCACAGACCACUGUGGUCUGCAACUACGACAUUGGCACUCCACCCCACGGUGCAAACACCGGAGACUCAGCGGUGGAGGGUCCUCCCCGCCCUCCCUCUCCUCCCCUGCUGGAGUACAAGGAGACGGCCGUCUUCCUCCUCUCCUCCCGCCGGCCACUCACUUCUUCCUCCUCCUCCUCUCGUCCCCUGUCCUCCUCCUCAUCGUCAGGAGUUGGGGGCUGCGAGGGAGGAGCUGGGGGGCCCCACUGGGAGGAUGAGAGCACCAGCAGUGAGAGCAAAUCCAGUUCUUCUGGAGGCCGCUACAGGCCCACCUGGAGGCCCAGGAGAGAGGCCCUGAACAUUGACAGCAUAUUCACCCGACCGAGAGGCUCCUCUUCGGGCUACAACACCCUGCCUGGUCCCUCUCUCCCUCCUGAGUCUCAGGACUCUCUUCCAUCCGUAGGACCCUCUCCUGCACCCACACAGCCUGGGUUACAAGAGGCAGAAGGGAGGGAGGCUGGGGAGUUGGAGGCGGGGUUUGGGCUGGUCGGGCAGCCCAGGUCUCUGGGCAGCGGGCGGACGAUGGGUCCCCCUGCCCCUCCACCUCUGCGAGGGGUGGAGCACCAGCCACGACUGAUUCAGAGGAUGGAGAGCGGCUACGAGAGCAGUGAGAGGAACAGCAGCAGCCCUGACAGGGAGGUGGGGCAACAGAAACGGGUGCUGAUGUCAGGACCUUCAUGGCGUACGGUGCCCAAGUCAAAGAGCAGUGGUGCCAUCCUGCAGGAACUGCCCUCCCCGAGCUGGGGUGGUGGCACUAUCUCAGGCUCAGGGCGAAGUGAGCUGGAUGAGCUGCAGGAGGAGGUGGCGAGGAGAGCUCGCCAACAGGAGCAGCAGAAGCGGAAGGAGGCGGAGCGGGAGGCAGCCAUGGGAUUUAACCCUAAACCUAGCAAAUACAUGGACCUGGACCAGCUCCAACACCAGGCUGUGCUCAGACCCCUGCAUGAGGCUAACGCUCAUAGCGGAUUGGCUGUAGCUGCGUGCAUGAGGAGCACUGGGGUCCCAAUCAAACGCGGGCAGGAUCAGGAAAUGGAACAGGAGACAGGAAGCGCCCGCCCACAGGGGCCUCGCAGUGAACAGCCUGGCCCGGUCCAAGUAUUGCUGACGCCCAAUCAGGAGGAGGAAGAGGACCAGGCGACGCCCAAUCAGGACGCUGCUCUGGGCCAAGGCCCGCCCCCUCCACCCUAUCGGCCUCCACUCACCCUCAGCAUCCCUCACCCGUGUGCCCCUUCCAGCCGGAGGGAGGAGGAGGAGGAGGGGGAGAAGGAGGGGGAGGAAGGCGAGGAUGGGAGGAAGGGGACAGGGGUGAGGCUGUGCGAGCUGCUGCAGGCAGGGGGGGUGAGUGUCAGACCCCUGGGGAAGCACUUAGCCAUCUCCCUGCCCUCGCUUCCUCUGCGUCUCUGGGAUACACACACCACACAUGUCGCACACUACACACACCUUGAACCUACACGCCCUCCCCCUCCUCCCUCCUCUCCUCCCCCGUCUCCCCCUCUGGAGGCCUUGGGGCAAAGGAAACCUCUCACGCCUCUCUGGCAGCCACCCCAGCCCCAGUCCCCAACGGGCGCCGUGCAGCAUUGGCCGAUGCACGGAGCGACCACCGCGGACAGCGGAACGCGUCAUUGGUCCUCCUGGAGUUUGGACCGGCCUGACGCCGUGGUGACGCCAUACGACACGCCACCUGACCGCUGCGUUCCCAUCAGGCCGCAGACCUCCAGUCAGCACUACAGCUUCAGUUGCCAGUCUUCUCCAGGGCACUACAGCUCCCAGCAUGCCCCAGGGCAACACAGAGAUCCCUGCUGUGACCGAGAAGAGGCUGAGCUGUCGGAGCUUGACUCCCUUUACCAGGCCAGUCUGCAGGCUGGGAGGACAGGCUGCAGCCCCUCAGAGAGACUCAUAUCCAGGGUGGGAGGGCAGGCUCGCUCCAAGACCCCCAACGCAGACAUGGAGAGGAGUGUGUACGGGGCCGACUGCACCAGCACCCCCACCUACCUCAACAAGCCAAUGAUGUUGCGGGAUCUGCGUUUGGGGGCUGAGCCUGAUGAUGGGGAGAACCUGAGGCGAAUCGGACGCAGCCUGAGCGGCUCAGUGGUGGCCCCACGCCGCAGCCGUCUGACUGCAACCCGCAGCUUUGUGAAGCAGGCUGAUGUCAGUGCCUCGCCUUGCUUACUUCCUCUCUUCUGAGUCCCUGUUGCUAUUCCACCACUGUCAUCUUCUCCAUCCUCCUCAUCACCAACACCUUCUCAUCACCACCUCCCUCCACUGCUUCACAGGAGCUGUCGGGUGGUGCAGGGAGUUUCUGGCUGUGUCUGACUGGGGUCAAGCUCUCUUCUGACCAGAGUCCGGCUCUGCUUCACUAACACCACCGAGACCACCUCCACCGGAGGGGCAGCGCCCGCGGGGUCCUCAUCGGGCCUCGACGGACCUGGAACCGGCUCAGGAGGAUCUAACAAACCUCCCAUCCUGCUCCUCCUCCUCCCUCUCAAACAUGCACACGCAAACACAUGCACGCACACAUCUGCACUGACGUAGAGCCUCCCUCAGCGCCUGCAGCACCUUGCUUCGCCCUUCCUUGCCUUCCUCCCUUCCUUUCCUUUGACCUACUAUUCUGUCUAUGCAGUCACUCUGACCCCCAAACUACAACCUCAACCUUUUCCCCCCUUCUUCCCGGGACUGUUUCUCGUCUCCCCCCCUGAGGUUUUUUUUCCUGAGGGUUUUCCUUGCUUGGACUCGGACCUGGAAUUUCCUCCAGCAGGACCCUCAGCUCAGGGGAGGGGGCUCUUAUCAAGUAGCCACGCCUCUUCCUCUUUCUUCACGGGCAUUUCUUAAUGGACGCACACGUAGCCGAACUGGGUCUAAUUCAGAUGGACAGCCAUAAUUUUCUCUCCUUGUUUUUUGGGGUUUGUUUGUUUUCUUCGUGUGUGCGCGCACAGUAAAACCCGCCUGAGACCGAACUCUCUAAUAACUAAAAGUCAUGUACAGAAAACUCAUGUAUGAAACCUGUAUGUUAAUUAAUAAGACCUUAUGGAAUGUUGAUAAUGAUAAUUAAUGAAAUAUUGAUAAACUUUAAAGUGGUACUUCCUCAUGUCUGCAUUUCAAAUAGAAGUGGAGUGCACUUCACAAGUGUCUAGCUGGAGUUUCCGCCCCCUAAACCGCUCGCCGACCUAAUGACAGCUCUCCCGUUUCUACCGGGAGAUUAAACAAGAAAAGCGCUUCUUCUUCUUUCUUGUUCUUUUAGUUCUUUUUUUCUGGCUCCCUUUGAUUUGCGCUUGCUUACUUUCCUUCCAAACAGUAGCACCAGAAAUAGGCCAGCAAGGGGAGGAAAGUCUUGAAAGGAAUUUAUAGGUUGGGAAACCAAAUGCGCUUUGCAAGGUUACUCGAAAGAAGUGCACUUUUUGAAGGACUGGGAGACACUGAUUGAUUGUUUUACUUAAAGGCCUCAGGUGAACUUCAGUGGCACUUAAGAAUUUUUUUUCUUUCACUGACACUGGUUUGGAGACCUCAGUUGUGAAUAGAAAAUGCUCAUCUUCAGCCUGAGACAGUCUAUUAUGAAUAUGCUUUAUAUGAUGUAUAUGUAUUAGAGGUAUAUUUUCAGCCAGGGAGCUUUCUUCUUCAGAGAUGUCAACCAUUCCUCAGUUGUAUGAACAGUUACUGAACAAUUGUGACAUGACUCACUCCCCCCUUUACUGAGGAGCGUUUUGACAUGUGUAGAGUACGUUUAUUAUAUGCUUUAUUCUAUGAAAUAAUCAGAAAAAUAACAAAACUGGCCAAUGUAAAGUUCUCCAAGAAUUUACUGAUGUUGAUCGAACGUUGUAACUAAACCAAAGGUUGGCACUUAACUCAGAGAGCGUAUUUAACAUUGCUGUUUCUACUUUGAUUUCAAUUUUGUUGUAUUUUUCUUUCUUUGUUUUUGGGUUUCUGGAUGUGGGAGAAUGUAGCCAAUUGUAGCGCAUGAGUCCGCUAUGCAAAUCAACCUUCCCUCACGAUUUCCUGUAUCAGAGACAGUGCAGGAGGCAGACACAGCCAACCCCCCCUCGGGGCGCUCUCACGGACUCUGGCAGAGACCCCGGGAGAGGAGGAGGAGGAGAUCUCUCAUGUUUUAAUGCUGCUGGUGAACUUUGUUGUUCUGCAUCUACUACUAUGUUUUAACUAAUGGAAUGCAAAAAGAGAGCAACAAGGCAAGAGAACGAGGGAGAAAGAGAGCGAUGAAUGAAUGUAAACUAAAGGAUGAGAGUGUGUGUUUGUGAAUGAUGUGAUGGAAGAGGAGGGAGAGAGCGGCGAAGAGCGACUUUAGAUGGUUCUUUGUAGGUGCGUGUAGACUGCGUGUCAGUUCUGGGGUGGUGUUGCUCGGGGAAAGAGGGAACCUGUAUUUUUGCAAUAAAGUUAUUACCAAUGCACUCCCACAGGGGGCGUAA